CCCCAAAGCUUGUUACACCUGAACAUGGCAUCACAACUACUCUAGAACCCCUCACAUUUGGUAAUUUUCUUCCGCAGAAGUAUCAAUCUAAGGAACCUUCACAUGCAGAACCAGUUAUGAAUCGAUCGCAAGGAGAUGGGUUGAUGACUGAAAAUACAGCAAGGAGAUCAAUCUAUGGAACCUUCACAUGCAGAACCAGUUAUGAAUCGAUCGCAAGGAGAUGGGUUGAUGACUGAAAAUAUAGCAAGGAGAUUGCAAUUUUCAGAAAUAAUGGCACAAGAGAAACCAGCGAUAGUUGCUGUUGAAGAUGUUGAACAUGCAAAACUAAAGCCAACAGUUGCAGAGAUAGUUAGAGGUAAUAGAGAUGUGCAAAUGGGUAAGUCUCUAUCCUUUGUUCCUCCUACCAUGCGAGAUGGUAAAAAAAUUGUUACAAUCUGUGAAGAAGAUCUGAAACCUCAAUUGGAUUAUUGGCAAAAUGCAUUGAUUGGUUUUGUGAUU
rnacentral:lncRNA from 1 species